UAUAUUUUAGUAUAGUAGGUACAAUAGAGUUUGAUUCUUUAGGCAAUAGAUUUUAUUUAUUAAAUAUAA
rnacentral:tRNA from 1 species